AUAAUAAUAAUAAUAAUAAUAAUAAUAAUAAAUAAAAAUAAAAAAUAAACACUGGGCGGGAACUGCUCCAGCCCUUUCGCUCCCUCAGGCGAUAGAGACAGAUCUUAAUAACCAAAUAUAAUAAAAUAAUAAUAAUAAUAAUAAUAAUAUGGGCGGGAACUGCUCCGGCCCUUCCGCUCCCUCAGGCGGU